rnacentral:sRNA from 1 species
GCUGGGCAUGGUGGUGCGUGCCUGUAAUCCCAGCAACUUGGGAGGCUGAAGGAGAAGGAACACAAGUUCAA